GACGAACGCUGGCGGCGUGCCUAAUACAUGCAAGUCGAGCGGACAGAUGGGAGCUUGCUCCCAGAAGUCAGCGGCGGACGGGUGAGUAACACGUGGGCAACCUGCCUGUAAGACUGGGAUAACUUCGGGAAACCGGAGCUAAUACCGGAUACGUUCUUUUCCCGCAUGGGAGAAGAUGGAAAGAUGGUUUCGGCUAUCACUUACAGAUGGGCCCGCGGCGCAUUAGCUAGUUGGUGAGGUAAUGGCUCACCAAGGCGACGAUGCGUAGCCGACCUGAGAGGGUGAUCGGCCACACUGGGACUGAGACACGGCCCAGACUCCUACGGGAGGCAGCAGUAGGGAAUCUUCCGCAAUGGACGAAAGUCUGACGGAGCAACGCCGCGUGAACGAUGAAGGCCUUCGGGUCGUAAAGUUCUGUUGUUAGGGAAGAACAAGUACCAGAGUAACUGCUGGUACCUUGACGGUACCUAACCAGAAAGCCACGGCUAACUACGUGCCAGCCGCCGCAGUAAGAC
rnacentral:rRNA from 1 species